rnacentral:rRNA from 1 species
UAACGGCGAGCGAACGGGGAAGAGCUCAUAGCCGAAUCCGGAGCCUUUGGCUUUGGAAAUGUGGCGUGUGGGAGGCGGCAUUCUCCCGUCCGGGGGACCGGUGCAAGUCCCCAUGAGAGGGGCAUGCUUCCCGGAGCGGGUGCUAGGCCCUUACCGCCGGGACCCUGGGCGAGAGUCGCCGUUCUCCCGGGAGUCGGGUUGCUUGGGAGUGCAGCCCAAAGCGGGUGGUAAACUCCACCUAAAGCUAAAUAUGACCGAGAGACCGAUAGCAAACAAGUACCGUGAGGGAAAGUUGAAAAGCACUUUGAAGAGAGAGUUCAAGAGUACGUGAAACCGUUUGGAGGUAAACGGGUGGGGCUUCGAAAGCCUAAGGCGGUGGCGGAUUCAGUCUCCUUCGGUUCCCGUUUGGAGAGUUCCCUGCAUCGAGAGGUGGGGGCUSYCCCGAGAGGGGGACCGUAGGGGGCGCACUUCCGUGCCCUGUCUAGCAGGACGCUGCGAGGGGUUGGAYGGCCGUCGUGGGGACGGGCCGAAAGGUGGCCGUCUUUCCUUCGGGAUCGACGGUGUUACAGGCGGCUCGGUUCCCGAGGGGCCGUCCGACCGAGGUGGAGGAUUCCUCGAGAACCUUCCCGGCGGAGGCCGCGCCCGAGAUGGGCCCCGUCGGCGUGCUGGGUGMCACCUCGAGGGGUGAGCUCGGCYCGUYGUAGGUCGCCCCGUCUCCGGGCGCGUGGGAAGGAGAGGUCGGCAGCGAGUAGAUCGGUUGCCCACCCGACCCGUCUUGAAACACGGACCAAGGAGUCCAAUGCGCGUGCGAGUCCCCGGGACUUGAAUAGGCCCGCGGGCGCAAUGAAGGUGAAGGGCAACGGGGGUUGUCCGAGUUGGGAUCCUUUCCUUGAAUAGGAGAGGCGCACCAACGUCCCGUUCGYGACCGGCUUCGGUCGGGCGGAGACAGAGCACGUGCCUUGGGACCCGAAAGAUGGUGAACUAUGCCUGGGCAGGAUGAAGCCAGAGGAAACUCUGGUGGAGGUCCGUAGCGAUUCUGACGUGCAAAUCGAUCGUC